rnacentral:rRNA from 1 species
GAUGAACGCUAGCUACAGGCUUAACACAUGCAAGUCGCAGGACUGGCGCACGGGUGAGUAACGCGUAUCCAACCUUCCCAUAACUACGGGAUAACCCGUUGAAAGACGGCCUAAUACCGUAUGGUUAUGGAUUGGGAUGCUUCUGAUUAUCUUGUUGGCGGGGUAACGGCCCACCAAGGCGACGAUCAGUAGGGGUUCUGAGUGGAAGGUCCCCCACGUUGGAACUGGGACACGGUCCAAACUCGUACUGGAGGCAGAAGUGAGGAAUAUUGGUCAAUGGGCGAGAGCCUGAACCAGCCAAGUAGCGUGCAGAAUGACGGCCUAUGGGUUGUAAACUGCUUUUAUGUGGGGUUAGGUACCUAAAGAAUAAGGACCGGCUAAUUCCGUGCCAGCCGCCGCGGUAAUAG